rnacentral:rRNA from 1 species
UACAGAGGUCUCAAGCGUUGUUCGGAUUCAUUGGGCGUAAAGGGUGCGUAGGUGGCGCUGUAAGUCGGGUGUGAAAUCCUGAGGCUUAACCUCGGAACUGCAUUCGAUACUGCGGUGCUUGAGGACUGGAGAGGAGACUGGAAUUCAUGGUGUAGCAGUGAAAUGCGUAGAGAUCAUGAGGAAGACCAGUGGCGAAGGCGGGUCUCUGGACAGUUCCUGACGCUGAGGCACGAAGGCCAGGGGAGCAAACGGG